AAUAGAUACCCAGGUAGUCCACGCCGUAAACGAUGAGUGCUAAGUGUUAGAGGGUUUCCGCCCUUUAGUGCUGCAGCUAACGCAUUAAGCACUCCGCCUGGGGAGUACGGCCGCAAGGCUGAAACUCAAAGGAAUUGACGGAGGCCCGCACAAGCGGUGGAGCAUGUGGUUUAAUUCGAAGCAACGCGAAGAACCUUACCAGGUCUUGACAUCCUCUGACCUUCCUAGAGAUAGGACUUUCCCCUUCGGGGGACAGAGUGACAGGUGGUGCAUGGUUGUCGUCAGCUCGUGUCGUGAGAUGUUGGGUUAAGUCCCGCAACGAGCGCAACCCUUGAUCUUAGUUGCCAGCAUUCAGUUGGGCACUCUAAGGUGACUGCCGGUGACAAACCGGAGGAAGGUGGGGAUGACGUCAAAUCAUCAUGCCCCUUAUGACCUGGGCUACACACGUGCUACAAUGGGUGGUACAAAGAGCAGCGAAAUCGCGAGAUUGAGCUAAUCCCAUAAAACCCACUCUCAGUUCGGAUUG
rnacentral:rRNA from 1 species